rnacentral:lncRNA from 1 species
GGCUGAUUCGAGUGAUGCAGGGAUGAAGACAAGGAGAAGGAGAUUAGAAGAAGGUGGUAGUGGUAAUGUUGGUGUUGGUGAUGUGGUGAUGAAGGUGGUUGAGGAGUUGAACAGAGAAAAUUCUGCAGGGGAGAAAUUGAAGGGUGAAAAAAAAGUGAGAAGUAAUGGGAAAAGUGGAUCUAGUCCUUUGAAUGGUGUUAGGAAUUCACCAAGGAGAAGGGGAUUAGAUGAAGGUGGUAAUGGUAAUAGUAGUGUUGGUGCUGGUGAUGUGGUGAUGGAGGUGGUUGAGGAGUUGAAUAGAGAAAAUUCCACCGGGAAGAAAUUAAGAGGUGAAAAGAAAGGGAAAAGUGAAGGGAAGGAUGCGUCUCCUUUGAAUGGCGUUCGGAUCUCA